CCUACGGGGGGCAGCAGUGAGGAAUAUUGGUCAAUGGGCGCGAGCCUGAACCAGCCAAGUAGCGUGAAGGAUGACUGCCCUACGGGUUGUAAACUUCUUUUAUAAAGGAAUAAAGUGAGGCACGUGAGCCUUUUUGUAUGUACUUUAUGAAUAAGGAUCGGCCAACUCCGUGCCAGCAGCCGCGGUAAUACGGAGGAUCCGAGCGUUAGCCGGAUUUAUUGGGUUUAAAGGGAGCGUAGAUGGGUUUUUAAGUCAGUUGGGAAAUGUUGCGGCUCAACCGUAAAAUUGCAAUUGAUACUGGCAGUAUGGAUUACAGGUGAGGUAGGAGGAAUGCGUGUUGUGGGGGUAA
rnacentral:rRNA from 1 species